CAGAGAUGAGGUUUCACUAUAUUGCACAGGCUGGUCUUGAACUGCUGGCCUUAAGCAAUCCUCCUGCCUUGGCCUCCCAAAGUGCUGGAGUUACAGAUGUGAGCCUCUGUGCUCAGCCCAUCCUUGGCUGUUCAAGUGUAGAGGCCACAGUCAAUUCAGGACAUUUUAACCAUGAAAAUGAGUCUCCAUAACACGAAUUUAGAGGCCAGACAGAGUGGAUCACGCCAGCAAUCCCAGCAUUCUGUGAGGCUGAAGUGGGGGAAUGGCUUGAGCUUAGGAGCUUCAGACCAGCCUGGGCAACAUGGUGAAACCCUGUCUCUAAAAUAAAUAAAUAAAUAAAUAAAAAUAAGCCAUGUAUGGUGGUGCAUGCUACUAGUCCCAGCUACUCAGGAGGCUGAGGUGGGAGGAUUGUGGGGCCAAGGAGGUCAAGUAUGGAGUGGGCCAAGAUCAUGCCACUGCAAUGCAGCCUGGGUAAUGGAGUGAGACCUUAUAGCAAGAAAAAGAAAAAGAUUUAAAGGACAGGCUGACUGUCUUGUUACAAGCCAAUGCUCAUUUGUUAUUCCAUAAAUCCUAG
rnacentral:lncRNA from 1 species